GGAAAUGAAAUAGAACCCUGUCUAGGGACCAGGGUUUAAGUUAUGGAUCUGUACCAGGACAGCUUGAAGUUGGAUGCCUUUGACCUUGGUUUUAUAUCUAUAAAAUGGGUGAGUGGCCACUUCCUCUUUCACCACUCCAGGCCCAUCCUUCCCUCAGUUCAAGCAGAGGACCCUUCCCAACAGAGGAGGACCAGUCUGUGAUCAAGGGUCCUAGGAGUAGCUGGAUUCCCCUUCAGACAAGCUCUCGAGAAUCUGAUCAGAUUGACUAGGAAAGCAUCUGGGCUGAAAGGAUUUCCCAGGGGUUAUUAACACCUG
ensembl:misc_RNA 7SK 7SK RNA